CCUACGGGAGGCAGCAGUGGGGAAUAUUGCACAAUGGGGGAAACCCUGAUGCAGCGACGCCGCGUGAGUGAAGAAGUAUUUCGGUAUGUAAAGCUCUAUCAGCAGGGAAGAAAUAGCGACCUUUGGGUCGCCAGACGGUACCUGAUUAAGAAGCCCCGGCUAACUACGUGCCAGCAGCCGCGGUAAUACGGAGGGGGCAAGAGUUAUCCGGAUUUACUGGGUGUAAAGGGAGCGUAGACGGCAGCGCAAGUCUGAAGUGAAAUGCCGGGGCUUAACCCCGGAACUGCUGUGGAAACUGUGCAGCUAGAGUGGAGGAGAGGUAAGUGGAAUGCCUAGUGUAGCGGUGAAAUGCGUAGAUAUUAGGAGGAACACCAGUGGCGAAGGCGGCGUACUGGACUGUAACUGACGUUGAGGCUCGAAAGCGUGGGGAGCAAACAGGAUUAGAUACCCGGGUAGUC
rnacentral:rRNA from 1 species